GGCUCCGCCUCCCGGGUUCACGCCAUUCUCCUGCCUCAGCCUCCAAGCAGUUGGGACUACAGACGCCCGCCACCACGCCCGGCUAAUUUUUUGGGGGUUUUUUUGUAUUUUUAGUAGAGACGGGGUUUCACCUUGUUAGCCAGGAUGGUCUCGAUCUCCUGACCUCGUGAUCCGCCCACCUCAGCCUCCCAAAGUGCUGGGAUUACAGGCAUGAGCCACCGCGCCCGGCCGGCCCUCAUUUUCUGAUCGGUGAAAUGGGAAUAACACAUUUGCUCUGCUCUCUCAAAUAUGAGCUGUCUUGCGGAUCAAAUGGAGAUCAUGAGUGAAUGAGAAAGAAAAGUAGCCCCAAAGGCUUAAGAAUGAAGGGAGCCAUGUCCCUCUUAAGAAAGCCAGAAUUAAUAUAUGAAAUCAGCUGUCAACAUUCACCUUAAAAAGCAGGCGGGAGAUGAUGUUGCCCAGGUAAAAAUUGAGAGGAAUAAAUGGCAGAAAUCAAAUCAAGAACUGACUGAAACGAAAGCAAGAAUCAUGACAAUAAUCCCUCUCCACCUCAGUCUACAUCGCCAAGGCUGAGACCUAAUCAAUGUCACUGCAGUAUCUGGAAAAAACUAUGGCAAGAGAGACGGCCUGUGUGCAACCCAAAGAAUAGCAAGCAAUCUGCCACGAGCCUCUACAAUCACUGAGCUAUCCCCAUGCCCAUACCUUCCUACAGAUGUAAGGAAGUUCCUGGAAGCCUGAAGAAUAUACUCUCAUUUCCUCAAUAUAUCUUUGAGACAAGAAAUAUUGGUGGUCGGUCUACCUUGGCUGGAGAUUGUGCAGCUAUACUGGGUGCUAAGGAGCCAAAGGAAAGACACAGUCCCUGCCCUCCAGGAGGUCACAGGGUAGUGGGAAAGGUGGACAAUUGAACAAUGGUUAACACGCUGUGAUGGUGCAACAACAGAGGUAGUAUGAGGAUGGCCAUAAAGUGAGCGAGUGUUGGGCCGGGUGCAGUGGCUCACACCUGUAAUCCC
rnacentral:lncRNA from 1 species